AUUAGAUACCCGGGUAGUCCCAGCCGUAAACAAUGUGCGUUAGGUGUGUCGGUAACCACGUGUUACUGAUGCGCCGAAGAGAAAUCGUGAAACGCACCACCUGGGAAGUGCGGUCGCAAGGCUGUAACUUAAAGGAAUUGGCGGGGGAGCACCACAACAGGUGGAGCCUGCGGUUUAAUUGGAUUCAACGCCGGACAUCUCACCGGAUAAGACAGCUGAAUGAUUGUCAAUCUGAAGGUUUUACAUGACUAGCUGAGAGGAGGUGCAUGGC
rnacentral:rRNA from 1 species